CCGAGGUUUCCGAGAGGAGGUUCGUGGGAACACUAGCGAUUUCUUCCGGUACCGAGCUUCCAAAGGCCUAGAGGUUCUUCGCGAAGAGACAGCACUUAGGCAAGACUGCUGAACGGAGAUCCCCGUGAAGGGUGGCCCGGAAGAGAAAAGCCGGAGCCUACGGGCCGCCGCGAGGGCCACGCCGCGUUGCCAUUCGUGCGCACUCACCUGAAAACGCUUCUCGCGUCACCGUAGAUCUAGCAAGUGGCGACUCAGAUGCUCUCUCAAGGCUGGCCUGUGCCAGGUGGAGGACGGAGAACUAUGGAGAUAGAGGACGGACACACGGGAAUAUAAGCAACUGAGCCAAAGGAACUUGGCAAAGUUUGUUGCAGUUUGUUUAGGGCACCGAAGUGUUUGGUAGCGAACGCGGGAUGUGCUGUAAGAUUGGAAAAGGCUAUAAUGUAAGCUCAGGGAUCUAACCCAUGGUCUUUACGCCAUCGUCGCGGAGUUUCCGGUCCCCGCGACCAGAAACUGCUAUUCGAGCCAGACUUUUGGAAGUAAGUGUGCAUUAAGUUAACUCCCAAAACUACGGCGUUUAAGGCGAGGCGCACAUCUGCAUCACAGCACUAGUGAUGCUGAGGCAGGAGGAUCCUGAGUUCGAGACCACUGUAGACUACAUAGUAAUGCAUCUCGAAAAAUGCAUUGUUUGGUUUAAGUUUUUAAGAUUAUGUUCUUUAAACUUAAAUUUUGUUUUUAUGUCUAUGGGUGUUUUGCCCCCGUUUAUAUCUGUACACCGCAUGCAUGCAGUGCUUGAGGAGGCCAGGAGAGGGCAUUAUAUAUCCUGCAACUGGCAUUAACAGUUUUGAAUUGCCUUAUGGGUGCUAGGGAAUCAAACCUGGGUCUUCUGGAAGGGCAACCAAUGCUCAUAAUAAAAUAUUCGGUUCUCCAGCCUCCUUUAUGGUUUUAUCUUGUGUAUCUGUAUGUUUAAGAUGGUACCCACUUUCAAUCAACUCUUGUUUGGCCUGCCCUAUAUAGCUAUUUCCUCAGUGGGGAACAUCUGCUCUUAGAGGGAAAGGAAG
rnacentral:lncRNA from 1 species